CCAAACUUAUGAACAAAUGAUCGGAUUAAAGCUCAAUUUGAUGUCACUGAUAUAUCAAAUAGAGAGAAAAAAUUAAAAAGAAAAAUAUCAAUUCAGAAAUUACUCAGACAGUAACAGAGAGACAUGAGAGAAUUUCCUAGUUCAUGGGUAAGAUGACCAAAAAAGAGGAACAAAAACAACAAAGAAAAUCAAAUUUUUAUCACCCAAAAAAAAAAAAAAGCAAAUUUAAUUCGCAGAUCGGUAGAUAGACGGAAACUCAUGUGAGAACUGAGAUGAUGGAGAAGAUGAAACUUUAGAUGAAUAUUUAUUUGUUC
rnacentral:lncRNA from 1 species